rnacentral:rRNA from 1 species
UACGUAGGUGGCAAGCGUUGUCCGGAGUUAUUGGGCGUAAAGCGCGCGCAGGCGGUGCGGUAAGUCUCUGGUGAAAGCGCUCGGCUUAACUGGGCGAGGGCCGGGGAGACUGCCACGCUGGAGGGGAGCAGAGGCGAGUGGAAUUCCGGGUGUAGUGGUGAAAUGCGUAGAGAUCCGGAGGAACACCAGUGGCGAAGGCGGCUCGCUGGGCUCUGCCUGACGCUGAGGCGCGAAAGCGUGGGGAGCGAACCGG